GCCUCCUUGGCAUAGUGGUAUUGCGUCGCACUUGUAUAUCUUCUGCGUCAUGCGAAAGUCGGCGGUUCAAUUCCGCCAGGGGGCA
rnacentral:tRNA from 1 species